rnacentral:rRNA from 1 species
AUUGAACGCUGGCGGCAGGCCUAACACAUGCAAGUCGAGCGGCUGCAGGGUGCUUGCUCGCGCUUACAGCGGCGGACUGGCGGGUAGUGGCUAGAUACAUCCGUGUUUGCGGGGGCUUAGGUGCGGACGCGGGCGCUCUUACCGCAUAAGCCCAGACGGCCUACGUGUGGAUGUUGGGGAUCUUCGAUCUUAGAUCAGCCUAAGUCGGAUUAGCCAGUUGGUGGGGUAAAGGCCUACCAAGGCGACGAUCCGUACCUGGUCUGAGAGGAUGAUCAGUCACACUGGAACUGAGACACGGUCCAGACUCCUACGGGAGGCAGCAGUGGGGAAUAUUGGACAAUGGGCGAAAGCCUGAUCCAGCCAUGCCGCGUGGGUGAAGAAGGUCUUCGGGUUGUAAAGCCCUUUUAGUGGGAAAGAAAAGCAGCAAGUUAAUACCUUGCUGUUUUGACGUUACCAAAAGAAUAAGCACCGGCUAACUUCGUG